CGGGGUGAGCGGCGGACGGGUUAGUAACGCGUGGGAAUAUGCCCAAAGGUACGGAAUAGCCUCUGGAAACGGAGAGUAAUACCGUAUGUGCCCUUCGGGGGAAAGAUUUAUCGCCUUUGGAUUAGCCCGCGUUAGAUUAGGUAGUUGGUGGGGUAAUGGCCUACCAAGCCUACGAUCUAUAGCUGGUUUUAGAGGAUGAUCAGCAACACUGGGACUGAGACACGGCCCAGACUCCUACGGGAGGCAGCAGUGGGGAAUCUUGGACAAUGGGGGCAACCCUGAUCCAGCCAUGCCGCGUGAGUGAUGAAGGCCUUAGGGUCGUAAAGCUCUUUCGCCUGUGAAGAUAAUGACGGUAGCAGGUAAAGAAACCCCGGCUAACUCCGUGCCAGCAGCCGCGGUAAUACGGAGGGGGUUAGCGUUGUUCGGAAUUACUGGGCGUAAAGCGCACGUAGGCGGAUCGGAAAGUUGGGGGUGAAAUCCCGGGGCUCAACCCCGGAACUGCCUCCAAAACUAUCGGUCUAGAGUUCGAGAGAGGUGAGUGGAAUUCCGAGUGUAGAGGUGAAAUUCGUAGAUAUUCGGA
rnacentral:rRNA from 1 species